GACGAACGCUGGCGGCGUGCUUAACACAUGCAAGUCGAACGGAAAGGCCCUGCUUUUGUGGGGUGCUCGAGUGGCGAACGGGUGAGUAACACGUGAGUAACCUGCCCUUGACUUUGGGAUAACUUCAGGAAACUGGGGCUAAUACCGGAUAGGAGCUCCUGCUGCAUGGUGGGGGUUGGAAAGUUUCGGCGGUUGGGGAUGGACUCGCGGCUUAUCAGCUUGUUGGUGGGGUAGUUGCUUACCAAGGCUUUGACGGGUAGCCGGCCUGAGAGGGUGAACGGCCACAUUGGGACUGAGAUACGGCGCAGACUCCUACGGGAGGCAGCAGUGGGGAAUAUUGCACAAUGGGCGGAAGCCUGAUGCAGAAACGCCGCGUGCGGGAUGACGGCCUUCGGGUUGUAAACCGCUUUCGCCUGUGACGAAGCGUGAGUGACGGUAAUGGGUAAAGAAGCACCGGCUAACUACGUG
rnacentral:rRNA from 1 species